rnacentral:rRNA from 1 species
UACGGGGGGGGUAAGCGUUGUUCGGAAUUACUGGGCGUAAAGGGCUCGUAGGCGGCCAACUAAGUCAUACGUGAAAUCCCUCAGCUUAACCGGGGAACUGCGUCUGAUACUGGAUGGCUUGAAUCCGGGAGAGGGAUGCGGAAUUCCAGGUGUAGCGGUGAAAUACGUAGAGAUUGGGAAGAACACCAGUGGCGAAGGCGGCUAUCUGGACGGUUUCUGACACUAAGACUCGAAAGCGUGGGGAGCAAACAGG